UACAGAGGGGGCAAGCGUUAUUCGGAAUUAUUGGGCGUAAAGGGCGCGUAGGCGGCCUGGCAAGUGGAAGGUGAAAUCCCUCGGCUUAACCGAGGAACUGCCCUCCAAACUGCUUGGCUUGAGACCGGGAGAGGUGAGUGGAAUUCCCAGUGUAGCGGUGAAAUGCGUAGAUAUUGGGAGGAACACCAGUGGCGAAGGCGGCUCACUGGUCCGGUACUGACGCUGAGGUGCGAAAGCGUGGGGAGCAAACAGG
rnacentral:rRNA from 1 species